rnacentral:piRNA from 1 species
UCGAAGAGUUCGUCAGGCAAUCUUCUCUCU